rnacentral:rRNA from 1 species
UACGUAGGCAGCAAGCGUUGUUCGGAGUUACUGGGCGUAAAGGGUGCGUAGGUGGCUCUAUAAGUAUGGUGUGAAAUCUCCCGGCUUAACUGGGAGGGUGCGCCGUAGACUGUGGGGCUAGAGUGUGGGAGAGGAAAGUGGAAUUCCUGGUGUAGCGGUGGAAUGCGUAGAGAUCCGGAAGAACACCGGUGGCGAAGGCGGUCUGCUGGGCCAAGACUGACGCUGAGGCGCGACAGCGUGGGGAGCAAACAGG